rnacentral:misc_RNA from 1 species
GAUGAAGAACGCAGCGAAAUGCGAUAAGUAAUGUGAAUUGCAGAAUUCAGUGAAUCAUCGAAUCUUUGAACGCACCUUGCGCCCUUUGGCCAUUCCGAAGGGCAUGCCUGUUUGAGUAUCAUGAACACCUCAACUCUUCAUGGUUUUCCAUGAUGAGCUUGGACUUUGGGGGUCUUGCUGGCCUGUGGGUCGGCUCCUCUCAAAUGAAUCAGCUUGCCAGUUUUUGGUGGGCAUCACAGGUGUGAUAACUAUCUACGCUUGUGGUUUUCCACCAGGGUAACCUUCAGCAGUGGAGGUUCACUGGAGCUUACAAAUGUCUCUCCUCUGUGAGGACAGCCCUUUGAAUGUUUGAUCUCAAAUCAGGUAGGACUACCCGCUGAACUUAAGCAUAUCAAUGAGCGGAGGA